GUUUCCCUAUAUAAGCCUCCAAUCCUAUUCAUUUUUUACUUUUUUACUAUCAGUAAACCUUGUCGGAAUCGUCGGGAUAAGGUGAGUCCUCAAGUCUUUAAGUUAAUUUUUUAGAAAAGUCUAUAUUUAAGAUAGGAUGUCGAGUAGUGAUAGCGAUACGUCAUCCUCGAGUUCGGGAACACCAACCGAGGACUUAGGGCAGUCGAUAAUACCUAUGGCCGUCCCCAUAAGUGCAAAUCCUCGAGCUCAGGACAUCCCGACCCCACUAGUGUACCCCGACUACCCUUGUAGGUUUAAGGAGCACUUAGCCGUGGCGACUGCUAGGGAAUUCGGCCUGAUGCCGAACUGUGAUAUUAGGUCUCCGGGUAAUGAGGAUAGGGUAGCUACUGCCCGGGAGGGAGAGUUCGUCAUUUUCAAGGAUUCUUUAAAGGGGGGAUUUAGGUGGCCAUUGCACCCCUUUUUCCUCGCGCUCUUGACCGAGCAUAACAUGAGCCCGGGGCAGUUAGUGCCGAACGGGUGGAGGAUGUUGACUUACUUCUUUAUAGCUUG
rnacentral:lncRNA from 1 species